UACGGAGGAUCCAAGCGUUAUCCGGAUUUAUUGGGUUUAAAGGGUGCGUAGGCGGCCUGGUAAGUCAGGGGUGAAAGACGGUAGCUCAACUAUCGCAGUGCCUUUGAUACUGCCGGGCUUGAAUGUACUUGAAGUGGGCGGAAUGUGACAAGUAGCGGUGAAAUACAUAGAUAUGUCACAGAACACCGAUUGCGAAGGCAGCUCACUAAAGUAUGAUUGACGCUGAGGCACGAAAGCGUGGGGAUCAAACAGG
rnacentral:rRNA from 1 species